AUGAAGAACGUAGCGAAAUGCGAUACUUGGUGUGAAUUGCAGAAUCCCGUGAACCAUCGAGUCUUUGAACGCAAGUUGCGCCCGAAGCCAUUAGGCCGAGGGCACGCCUGCCUGGGCGUCACACGUCGUUGCCCCCCCCAUCUACUCCUUCGGGAUUGCGGGGGGCGGAUGAUGGCCUCCCGUGCGCCUCGCCGCGCGGUUGGCAUAAAUGCCAAGUCCUCGGCGACGCACGCCACGACAAUCGGUGGUUGCGAAACCUCGGUUGCCCGUCGUGUGCGGUCGUCGCGCAUCGAGGGCUCGAAAAAAUUGCCGGGUUUCGACUCGGCUUUCAACGCGACCCCAGGUCAGGCGGGGUUACCCGCUGAAUUUAAGCAUAUCAAUAAGCGGAGGA
rnacentral:misc_RNA from 1 species